UACGAAGGGGGCUAGCGUUGUUCGGAAUUACUGGGCGUAAAGCGCGCGCAGGCGGUCUUCCAAGUCAGUGGUGAAAGCCCGGAGCUCAACUCCGGAACUGCCAUUGAAACUGGGAGACUAGAGGGUAGGAGAGAGAAGUGGAAUUCUUGGAGUAGCGGUAAAAUGCGUAGAUCUCAAGAGGAACACCGAUGGCGAAGGCAGCUUCUUGGCCUACUACUGACGCUGAGGCGCGAAAGCGUGGGGAGCAAACAGG
rnacentral:rRNA from 1 species